rnacentral:rRNA from 1 species
CGCCUCGUGGUGGUUCCUUCCUUCGGGUUGGUUCCGCCGCGUGGUGUUGGGAGCGUAGCCGCAGUAGGUCAGCGCAGGGGUGACACGGAAUGGGAGCCGGCCGCGGAGGUGGUUUUCCGUGGUCAAGCACGCAGCCAGUCAUGUAGGCAAAUCCGCAUGGCGCGCAUGGCGAGGUGUGAUGAUGGGAGCCGUUAUGGCUCGAUAUCCGGUUGUCCAGGCCGUCGAGAAAAGCCUCGGCGUGAGGGCCAUGGCCGCCCGUACCCCAAACCGACACUGGUGGUCAGGUAGAGAAUACCAAGGCGAUCGAGCGAAUCCUGGUCAAGGAACUCGGCAAAUCACUCCCGUGCCUUCGGUAUAAGGGAGACCCGCUGGGGUGAACCGGCUAGCCCGGGGAGCUUUGGUGGGUGGCACAGACCAGGGGGUAGCGACUGUUUACCAAAAACACAGGUGCAUGCGAAGGCGAAAGCCGCUGUAUAUGCACUGACGCCUGCCCGGUGCCGGAAGGUUAAGAGGAUCCGUCAAUCCCUUCGGGGACGAAGCGGUGAAUUCAAGCCCCGGUAAACGGCGGUGGUAACUAUAACCAUCCUAAGGUAGCGAAAUUCCUUGUCGGGUAAGUUCCGACCUGCACGAAUGGCGUAACGACUUCCCCACUGUCUCGACCAGGAGCUCGGCGAAAUUGCAGUACGAGUAAAGAUGCUCGUUAAGCGCAGAAGGACGAAAAGACCCCGGGACCUUUACUAUACCUUGGUAUUGGCGUUAGGCGCGGAUUGUGUAGCAUAGGCGGGAGGCUUCGAAGCGUGGGCGCCAGCUCAUGUGGAGCCGCAAGGUGAAAUACCGCUCUGUUCUCGUUUGACGUCUAACCUCGACAAGUCAUCCUUGUCAGGGACAGUGCCUGGCGGGUAGUUCAACUGGGGCGGUUGCCUCCCAAAGAGUAACGGAGGCGCUCAAAGGUCCGCUCAGCCCGGUUGGCAAUCGGGUGUCGAGUGUAAUCGCACAAGCGGGCUUGACUGCGAGGACGACGGUCCGAGCAGGGACGAAAGUCGGAGAUAGUGAUCCGGUGCCGGCGCACGGGCGCGGCAUCGCUCAACGGAUAAAAGGUACCCCGGGGAUAACAGGCUGAUCAUUCCCAAGAGUCCAUAUCGACGGGA